UGUUGUAGGUAUAAGUGAUGUGUGGUUUUAAGUAUUUUUUUAUGCAUAAUUUUGGUAAGUAAGGAUUAGAGCGUCGAAUGUUUGAAAUGUUUGGUCAUAAUUACACAUGCUAUUUACGCAGGUAUCACUCCGCCAGAAAAGUAGAGACCUGUGUAUGUGUUUCAUGUUUCCAACAAAGGUAUGUGGAUUUGUGUAUUAUUAUUAUUUUUUUGUGAUAAAACGUUUUUGUUAUUGUAAUUUAAAUUAUUAUUUUUAUAUGAAUGACUGUUAUUUACUUUCUCUUCUAUCGGACUUUUGAUGAUGAGGUAUCACUCCGCCAGAAAAGUAGAGACCUGUGUAUGUGUUUCAUGUUUCCAACAAAGGUGGCCAAUAAAUGAUGAAACGUCGGAAUGGUGGAGUGUCUCCUACUUAUAAAAACUACACAACGCAGAAUAAGACUCACUACACAAGGAUGGGUUUUAGAAGAUUCCAGCUGAAAGAGAGAGAGUGAAGGAGGGUUCAGGCGGCCCACGACCUCUGACCUUUUACCUUUGGCGUGGUCUUUGUCCAGCUGGCUGGCCGUCUUCUUCCAGUCCUCCAUCUUGUCUGCCAGGGGGGUGAUCAGACUCUCCAGCAGGGCGCUGACCACACACACACACUCAUCAGUCUGUGGAGGGGCCUGUGUAAACCUCCACAUGAUGACAUCACACACCAGGAAGUGGUGUAAACCUCCACAUGAUGACAUCACACACCAGGAAGUGGUGUAAACCUCCACAUGAUGACAUCACACACCAGGAAGUGGUGUAAACCUCCACAUGAUGACAUCACACACCAGGAAGUGGUGUAAACCUCCACAUGAUGACAUCACACACCAGGAAGUGGUGUAAACCUCCACAUGAUGACAUCACACACCAGGAAGUGGUGUAAACCUCCACAUGAUGACAUCACACACCAGGAAGUGGUGUAAACCUCCACAUGACAUCACA